UACGUAGGGUGCAAGCGUUGUCCGGAAUUAUUGGGCGUAAAGAGCUCGUAGGCGGUCUGUCGCGUCUGCUGUGAAAACUCAGGGCUUAACCCUGAGCUUGCAGUGGGUACGGGCAGACUAGAGUGCGGUAGGGGGAGACUGGAAUUCCUGGUGUAGCGGUGAAAUGCGCAGAUAUCAGGAGGAACACCGGGUGGGCGAAAGGCGGGUCUCUGGGCCGAAACUGA
rnacentral:rRNA from 1 species